UAGAAAGCCUUGAUGGUGAAAUGGUAGACACGCGAGAUUCAAAAUCUCGUGCUACAAAGCAUGGAGGUUCGAGUCCUCUUC
rnacentral:tRNA from 1 species